rnacentral:rRNA from 2 species
GGUUAAGCGACCAAGCGUACACGGUGGAUGCCCUGGCAGUCAGAGGCGAUGAAGGACGUGCUAAUCUGCGAAAAGCGCCGGCGAGGUGAUAUGAACCCUUGACCCGGCGAUGUCCGAAUGGGGAAACCCAGUGUGA